AUUGAACGCUGGCGGCAUGCCUUACACAUGCAAGUCGAACGGCAGCACGGGUGCUUUCACCUGGUGGCGAGUGGCGAACGGGUGAGUAAUACAUCGGAACAUGUCCUGUAGUGGGGGAUAGCCCGGCGAAAGCCGGAUUAAUACCGCAUACGAUCUAUGGAUGAAAGCGGGGGACCUUCGGGCCUCGCGCUAUAGGGUUGGCCGAUGGCUGAUUAGCUAGUUGGUGGGGUAAAGGCCUACCAAGGCGACGAUCAGUAGCUGGUCUGAGAGGACGACCAGCCACACUGGGACUGAGACACGGCCCAGACGCCUACGGGAGGCAGCAGUGGGGAAUUUUGGACAAUGGGCGAAAGCCUGAUCCAGCAAUGCCGCGUGUGUGAAGAAGGCCUUCGGGUUGUAAAGCACUUUUGUCCGGAAAGAAAUCCUUGGCCCUAAUACGGUCGGGGGAUGACGGUACCGGAAGAAUAAGCACCGGCUAACUACGUG
rnacentral:rRNA from 1 species